UUCCCUCCGAAGUUUCCCUCAAGAUAGCUGGAGCUCGGGAUGAAUUCUAUCGGGUAAAGCCAAUGAUUAGAGGCAUCAGGGGCGCAACGCCCUCGACCUAUUCUCAAACUUUAAAUAGGUAGGAUGGCGCGGCUGCUUCGUUGAGCUGGGCCACGGAAUCGAGAGCUCAAAGUGGGCCAUUUUUGGUAAGCAGAACUGGCGAUGUGGGAUGAACAGGAAGCCGGGUUACAGUGCCCAACUGCGCGCUAACCGAGAACCCACAAAGGGUGUUGGUCGAUUAACCUAGAACUCACAGCAGGACGGUGGUCAUGGAAGUCGAAAUCCGCUAAGGAGUGUGUAACAACUUACCUGCCGAAUCAACUAGCUCCGAAAAUGGAUGGCACUUAAGAGCGUGACCUAUACCCAGCCGUCGGGGCAAGAGCCAAGCCUCGAUAAGUAGGAGGGCGCGGCGGUCGCUGCAAAACCGAGGGCGUGAGGCAGGGCAGAGCGGCCAUUGGUG
rnacentral:ncRNA from 1 species